UCAAAGUUAUCGGAAAAUUUCGUAUUGAAUAAUUACAGAAAUUUUGUAUAGUGUUUCUCGUUAAACAAUUAAUCCACUUGAGGUAAAUUUUGGGUGUAUAAGUUUAGGCAUGGUAUAAGGGCACCUACUGGUCCAUCUAUCCUCCGCUUUUAGGAGAGACGGGCCAGCGGGGUAUAGGAGAGAUGGACCUAUUUUUCUUGUUUCAGAAUAAUGUCUAAUCGAUACACCCGCAAGCGCAAGGUUGAGAAGAGGGUCUGCAGACGAUUUAUCUUCUGCCAUUAAGAAGCAAACUCAUUUGGUAUUCCAAAAACAAUUUUUAAACGCAGACUUGCAAGUAGUAACCUAAAUAAAACCGACUGUUUGGGCCUGGGAGCGUGCUUGGUAGAGAAGUAGAGGCGAAACUCGCUGCCCAUAUAAAAAAAUUACAAAAAAGAGGCUUCGCACCGACUAGACAGGAAGUACGCAUAACGGCCUACAAUUUAGUUGAACGUCUCGGAAUUCAACAUAAAUUUGAUGGCGAAGAUGGUAAAGCUGGUUACGUAUGACUGAAUUCUUUUUUAAGGCGGAAUUCAGACAUUGGAGUUCGCAAAGCUGAAGGUUGAGCGCCGGGUAUGUGUAAAGAUAUUCUAGGCAAAUAUUUCAGUGUGCUUGAGAAUGUACUCUCUGAGACACUGAGAAUGGUUUGUAUGUUUAAAAUAUAGAGACAGGUCUACAGUUAAACACCCGAGCUGGGCUGGUGCUGACUGAAAGAGGAUCUAAAAGUGUACCUUCAAUUAGCCCUAGUGAAUAAGAGGAAACGAUUACUAUAGUUGCUUUCUGUAACGCAGAAGGGGUUUAUUUAUCUCCUUACUGCGUGUUUAAGGGAAAAAGUUCUAAAGCGGAAUGGUCUGAUGGAAUGCAACCCGGCUCACGUGUACGUAUGUCAGAAAAGUCAGCACAUGUGACGUCAGACAUUUUCUUGGAUUGGCUACAAAAUCACGUCUACCCAAGAAAAGCAUCCGGAAAGGUUUCACUCAUUGUAGACGGACACACUUCUCCCACGCCUAACCCCAAGACAUUACAAUUCGCAGAGGGCAAUGACAUUAUUUUAUUUUGCGGUCCAUCGGGCCUUCUUCGAGGGCCUUAAAGGGCAUUAUUACGGUUCAUGCAGGAGAAUGAUCAAAUGUAUAGGAGGCUAAAUCGGUUGCAGUUCGGCAAACUUUUAAGGGAGGCCUGGGGCAAAUCGGCUACAGUAACUAAUGCUGUAUAGGCCUUUCGGGCAACAGGAAUUUGGCCUUACACUCUGGAUGAAACACCUGAUCAUGCUUUUUUCACGCAGACACCAGACGAGGCUACGCUAAAUCCAACAAACGAAUUUGAGCAACAAGCUGGCAUCGCAGAACUAUCCCCUGAAACUUCUUCGCAAGAAAUGUAUACCCAAACCCUUCCUCGGGGACGUGAUUCCCCUCAACCAGGCCCUUCCAAAAUGCAGUUAGAACGUGAGGUUUUCAAAUAACCUCCUAAAGGAAAACUAACACCUGGAAAACUACUUCAGCAGGUCUCUCCUGUUCCUAAUAUAACAUCAACUAUGAAGAAGGCUCGAACUAGCCUAAUGGGGAACUUAACUUCACCAACUCAGAUGACUCGUAUUCGCCAGAAGAAACAAAGACAAAAACAAACACCUCAGCCAUCUGAAUCUGAUGAAGAUGUAAGCGUGGAUGAUUCGUCUAGUGGAGAAAAGGAGGACUGGUUGUAAUGCGUUCUGUGUACUAGAUGGUUAUAUGAAUUCUGCACAUCCUACACCAGCACAUGCCAACUAUGUGGUGCCUCCUCAAAUAUGAAAAAGGGAAAAAGGAAUUAAAUUAGUUUACGGUCCAUCUCUCCUAUAGUCGGUGGUUCAUCUCUCUUUCACGUUCUAGGAAAGAUUUUUACAUUUUUAUUAUUUUAUUUUUUAUAAUUAUUCAUUGUGUUAGAUUAGCCUUUAAAAUGCGCUAAAUAAAUAACCAAAGCUUGGAAUAAAUAAAAAACUUUUUGAAAGUUUUUCAAAAGGUGGGCCAUCUCUCCUCGAUUUACUCUAUAAUUAUAUUCUUGUUCUUUUAUGGAUAUAUACGUGCUAAUGCUUUUGGUGUUUUGAGUAUGC